UGUGACGUUACUGACAGAAGAAGCACCGGCUAACUCCGUGCCAGCAGCCGCGGUAAUACGGAGGGUGCGAGCGUUAAUCGGAAUUACUGGGCGUAAAGCGUACGCAGGCGGUUUGUUAAGCGAGAUGUGAAAGCCCCGGGCUCAACCUGGGAACUGCAUUUCGAACUGGCAAACUAGAGUGUGAUAGAGGGUGGUAGAAUUUCAGGUGUAGCGGUGAAAUGCGUAGAGAUCUGAAGGAAUACCGAUGGCGAAGGCAGCCACCUGGGUCAACACUGACGCUCAUGUACGAAAGCGUGGGGAGCAAACAGGAUUAGAUACCCUGGUAGUCCACGCCGUAAACGAUGUCUACUAGAAGCUCGGAUCUUCGGUUCUGUUUUUCAAAGCUAACGCAUUAAGUAGACCGCCUGGGGAGUACGGCCGCAAGGUUAAAACUCAAAUGAAUUGACGGGGGCCCGCACAAGCGGUGGAGCAUGUGGUUUAAUUCGAUGCAACGCGAAGAACCUUACCUACACUUGACAUACAGAGAACUUACCAGAGAUGGUUUGGUGCCUUCGGGAACUCUGAUACAGGUGCUGCAUGG
rnacentral:rRNA from 1 species